UAUACUGUUUUCCUGACAGAAUCUACAUUGAAUUUUUUAGUUUUUUGUGAAAUAAAAUUCCAAAACCUUAAAGGACAAACAGCUUUUUGAGAUUCCUACAUUGCCUACAAGGGACCACAUACAACAAAGCCUACUAAGGCCAUUUCUCAUCUCUUUUUUCCAUUCAAGACUGAAAAGGAAAAUGAGACCCAGAAGAGUUUGUCCUGAAAAGGAAGCUUUGAAAUUCAUCGCAUCUGGGAAAGAUAAAGACACAUUUCAGUCAAGAGUCAAGAGAAAGAUUGUUGAUGAACAGAAAAGAGCAGAUUUGUGUGCAUUUGUGACCACAAACAUCACUACAGGAGAAGAAAUGAUGUUGGACUGCAGA